UUAAAUCGCUUUCCAAAUAUGAGUCGAUUUCGGCUUAGUCUCAUUUCGAAAUCCUAAACAAAUUCUUAUUUCAAUCUAUCUCUGGCUAGUUAUAUAUUCAACCCAUGCUGCAGAGAUCUCCGUUGCACUUUCGCCAAAUGCAGAAAUCUUCGUCUGAUGGUUCCGUCCGCUUGGCGGUGUUGGAGCCAGAUCCAGCAUUUUCAUCAUAGCUUAGUCGGGCAAUGUGGUAAUAGAAUCGGCUGAUGCUGCAUAUGGUGGAUGGGACCCUGACUGAACGUGGUCACAUGAACAUUGGAACUUGAAGUAUCCUCAUGCUUAGAUCAAUGAAGUAUCAGAGAGAUUGUUCCUAAUAGACCGCAAUUCCCUUUUGCCUCCUAUUCCCAUGUUACCAAGGCAUAUUUCUCUAGCCAUCGCUUCUCUUUCCAUUCUCA
rnacentral:lncRNA from 1 species